rnacentral:lncRNA from 1 species
GGCCACGUGCAUGUCAUCGAAAUCCUGCAUCCUGUAAAAGUUAAGAAAGUGAUCCUGAAAAUGCAAACCAUUCAAAUUUUAGUCUCAAUGAAAAAUAUGAUAAAAUAAAAUAAAAAUAAAAUUAAAUAAAUGUGAAAAAGUAAAAUGAAAGAAAAACCAUGGGUUGCCUCCCAUGCAGCGCUUGUUUAACGUCAUUAGCUUGACAAUUAGAAUUUAUACACCUGUAGUAGUAGGAAUUGGCGGAUCAAUCAGGGUGUGGCUUGAGUAGUAUGCUGGAAUGUCU